UACGUAGGGUGCGAGCGUUGUCCGGAAUUAUUGGGCGUAAAGAGCUCGUAGGCGGUCUGUCGCGUCGAAUGUGAAAACCCGGGGCUCAACUCCGGGCUUGCAUUCGAUACGGGCAGGCUAGAGUUCGGUAGGGGAGUCUGGAAUUCCUGGUGUAGCGGUGAAAUGCGCAGAUAUCAGGAGGAACACCAGUGGCGAAGGCGGUUGCCUGGAGCUUUGCUGACGCUGAUGCGCGAAAGCGUGGGGAGCGAACAGG
rnacentral:rRNA from 1 species